rnacentral:lncRNA from 1 species
GGGAAAAUACUUUAAACAUCCAGUAGAACGCAAAUACAUCAUAGAAUAAAGAAAACAAAUAGAGAAAAACCUUGAAUAACUUAGGGUUUCCUAGAAAUGAGAAAGGCUUGAAAGAGAAGCCGAUCUCGAGUUGGAGAGGUCAAAAAUGGCUUCUAGUGCUUGAAUAUGCCGGAGCAUGGUCGGAGAGGCCAUAGAAUUAUAGAUCUGAGAAGAUUUAAAAGAGAAACGUCAAGGUUAGACUUUAAAACCUCGAACACCCAAGGUUUAAUAAUGGAGAGGGGUGAGUAUAGAGCAUCCAUGGCCUGAGAAACCAUUGAUUCCGGUGAAAGUACGGUGAAAAAAGGUAGGAGGUAUAGGGUUCCGAAGAACCUUUGAGAGAGUUUGAGAGACGAAAGGGUUCAAAC